rnacentral:rRNA from 1 species
UCCAUUAUCUUAGCGGCGGACGGGUGAGUAACACGUGGGCAACCUGCCCUGCAGAUCGGGAUAACUCCGGGAAACCGGUGCUAAUACCGAAUAGUUUGCGGCCUCUCAUGAGGCUGCACGGAAAGACGGUUUCGGCUGUCACUGCAGGAUGGGCCCGCGGCGCAUUAGCUAGUUGGUGAGGUAACGGCUCACCAAGGCCACGAUGCGUAGCCAACCUGAGAGGGUGAUCGGCCACACUGGGACUGAGACACGGCCCAGACUCCUACGGGAGGCAGCAGUAGGGAAUCUUCCGCAAUGGACGAAAGUCUGACGGAGCAACGCCCCGUGAGUGAAGAAGGUUUUCGGAUCGUAAAACUCUGUUGUGAGGGAAGAACAAGUACCAACUAACUACUGGUACCUUGACGGUACCUCACCAGAAAGCCACGGCUAACUACGUGCCAGCAGCCGCGGUAAUACGUAGGUGGCAAGCGUUGUCCGGAAUUAUUGGGCGUAAAGCGCGCGCAGGCGGUCCUUUAAGUCUGAUGUGAAAGCCCACGGCUCAACCGUGGAGGGUCAUUGGAAACUGGGGGACUUGAGUGCAGAAAAGGAAAGUGGAAUUCCACGUGUAGCGGUGAAAUGCGUAGAGAUGUGGAGGAACACCAGUGGCGAAGGCGACUUUCUGGUCUGUAACUGACGCUGAGGCGCGAAA